ACGUCACUCCUGCGGGAGGCAGCAGUGGGGAAUAUUGGACAAUGGGCGCAAGCCUGAUCCAGCCAUGCCGCGUGAGUGAUGAAGGCCCUAGGGUUGUAAAGCUCUUUCACCGGUGAAGAUAAUGACGGUAACCGGAGAAGAAGCCCCGGCUAACUUCGUGCCAGCAGCCGCGGUAAUACGAAGGGGGCUAGCGUUGUUCGGAUUUACUGGGCGUAAAGCGCACGUAGGCGGACUAUUAAGUCAGGGGUGAAAUCCCGGGGCUCAACCCCGGAACUGCCUUUGAUACUGGUAGUCUUGAGUUCGAGAGAGGUGAGUGGAAUUCCGAGUGUAGAGGUGAAAUUCGUAGAUAUUCGGAGGAACACCAGUGGCGAAGGCGGCUCACUGGCUCGAUACUGACGCUGAGGUGCGAAAGCGUGGGGAGCAAACAGGAUUAGAUACCCCAGUAGUCCC
rnacentral:rRNA from 1 species